CCUACGGGAGGCAGCAGUGGGGAAUAUUGGGCAAUGGAGGAAACUCUGACCCAGCGACGCCGCGUGCGGGAUGAAGGCCUUCGGGUUGUAAACCGCUUUCAGUAGGGAAGAAGCGAAAGUGACGGUACCUACAGAAGAAGCACCGGCUAACUAUGUGCCAGCAGCCGCGGUAAUACAUAGGGUGCAAGCGUUGUCCGGAAUUAUUGGGCGUAAAGAGCUCGUAGGUGGUUCGUCACGUCGGAUGUGAAAAUCUGGGGCUCAACCCCAGACCUGCAUUCGAUACGGGCGAUCUAGAGUGUGGUAGGGGAGACUGGAAUUCCUGGUGUAGCGGUGGAAUGCGCAGAUAUCAGGAGGAACACCAAUGGCGAAGGCAGGUCUCUGGGCCAUUACUGACACUGAGGAGCGAAAGCGUGGGGAGCGAACAGGAUUAGAUACCCGUGGUAGUCCACGCCGUAAACGGUGGGCACUAGUUGUGGAACCUUCACGGUUUCUGCGACGCNGCUACNCAUAGUCGCCGCCG
rnacentral:rRNA from 1 species